GAAAACCUGUCCCUAAAAAACAAGAAAUGGAUCAAAACGGGUAUUAUUCACUGGCCAGAUCUGAGCGAAACGGGUCCUAAUCUCGCGGCUGAAUGGUAUCAACAUUUCAAUGCUCGAAAAAGACCCAUUCGAAAUAGCUAAUAUUACGCCAUUCGUGGCUACAAAAAGAACCCCCCCUCCCAUUGGCCUCACGCCGGCUGGUGAUGGUGAUUUCGGUUCCAAUUCUGGGUCUUGAGGCGGGCACCAGGCUGGCUGCGAUGAGGCGGGGGCGAGUGGCUCGACCUCUACUUCCGAGGUCGGGAUCAGGGUCAGGGGCUCGGUCCCAUCCAGAUGCUGAACUUCUAAUCGAGAACACAAGCAGGUCAAGGCCUGGACCCAGUGUCCAUCUAGACAUGCCUCUUCUUUCUCUUCCUUUUGAUCAUUAUUCUGGUCGGGGCGUUUAGGAGGCGGUGGGGUGGGUUUGAGCCUGAUCUCGGCCAAGCAUUCCCAAUGAUACUCGCUCUGGGGCUCGGACGCCGGAGCCACUGAGCCAGCAGGAACGACGGCCAUACUAUCCUAGCAACGGGUCUCCGAUGGGUCAAAGGCCAGGCUUGCUUAUCACGGAGGUGUAGCCCGGUUGGGUUUGGAUAAGAACCAGGAAGAGGGUGGCUGGAAGCGGGUGGGAUCGGUAUUGGUUGGAUAGUACGGUCAUGCUUGGCGACUUUGUUUUGUUU